AUAGAAACGCACUUAGCGCCCCUUGGUAUCCCGAGGGGCUGCCUGUUCAGCGCGUCAUU
rnacentral:rRNA from 1 species